rnacentral:rRNA from 1 species
GAUGAACGCUGGCGGCGUGCUUAACACAUGCAAGUCGAACGGAAAGGCGCUGCUUUUGCGGGGUGCUCGAGUGGCGAACGGGUGAGUAACACGCGAGUAUCCUGCCCUUGACUUUCGGAUAACUCCAGGGAACAGGGGCGAAUACAGGGUAGGAGCUCCUGCUCCACGGUGGGGGUUGGUGAGAUUCGGCGGUUGGGGAUGGACUCGCGGCUUACCCGCUUGUUGGUCGGGUAGUGGCUGACCAAGGCUUCGAAGGGUAGCCGGCCUGAGAGGGUGACCGGCGACCUUGGUACUGCGGUACGGACCAGACGGGUACGGGAGGCAGCAGUGGGGAAUAUUGCACAAUGGGCGCAAGUCUGAUGCAGCAACGCCGCGUUCGGGAUGACGGCCUUCUGGUGGUGAACCGCUUUGGCCUGUAACGAAGCGUGAGUGACGGUAACGGGUAAAGAAGCACCGGCUAACUACGUG